rnacentral:rRNA from 1 species
GAUGAACGCUGGCGGCGUGCUUAACACAUGCAAGUCGAACGGGAAACCUUUUAUUGAAGCUUCGGCAGAUUUAGCUGGUUUCUAGUGGCGGACGGGUGAGUAACGCGUGGGUAACCUGCCCUAUACAGGGGGAUAACAACCAGAAAUGGUUGCUAAUACCGCAUAAGCGCACAGGACCGCAUGGUCCGGUGUGAAAAACUCCGGUGGUAUAGGAUGGACCCGCGUUGGAUUAGCCAGUUGGCAGGGCAACGGCCUACCAAAGCGACGAUCCAUAGCCGGCCUGAGAGGGUGAACGGCCACAUUGGGACUGAGACACGGCCCAGACUCCUACGGGAGGCAGCAGUGGGGAAUAUUGCACAAUGGGGGAAACCCUGAUGCAGCGACGCCGCGUGAAGGAAGAAGUAUCUCGGUAUGUAAACUUCUAUCAGCAGGGAAGAUAGUGACGGUACCGGCAUAAGAAGCACCGGCUAACUACGUGCCAGCCGCCGCCGUAAUAC